AAGAUAUUAUUGAUAGUUUUGUGAAGCUCAUAUAGCGAGAGCCAUUAUCAAACUAAUAUAAUUAUUUUGGUAAAACAAAAGAACCACUCAAUGUAGUUAAGGUGCAGAUGAAAAAACUUCUAAAUGAAU